GGUUUGAACGAUCUGACAGCACGUCUCUGAUUGGUCAUCAUAUCGAGAGGCAGUAACAAUGCAUCACCAUCAGAGUGACUCUGACUCCAGUGAUGACAGCAUGAAACAUCCUGCUUUUAUGACAUCCACAAUGGAAUCACAGAGACACCGGCGCAGUAUGGACAAACCGACUGAAGAGCUAUCUGACAUUACUCAUCUCCAAGAAGAAUUUUACAGACUCCAUGAGGAAAUUUCUCCUGAAUGCAAAAAGCAUAUAAAGAAAAUGACUGAUGUCGUCAAUGAGUUUGAAAAAGAUUACAGACAUGCUUCUUGCCUCAUUGAUGCUGGAAUCGCUGGCUUGGUUUUAGGAUUAGCUUUAGCUGCAUUUACUGGAGGGGCUUCUCUCAUUGCCGGUGGAUUAGGGUUAGUUGUUGGGAUAGCUGCUGGUGGUGCUGCUGCAGGUGGUGGAAUUGCUUGUGGUAUUGGAGAAUUCAGUAAAAAUCAGCAGGAAAAGAUGACAAGACUAACCAUAGAAAAAGAACUUGAGGAAUUUCAGUAUAAAAUCAGCCCUAUUAUUAAAAUGGUAGUGAAGAUUUAUGCUCGUACUCAGGAAAUACUGAGAGACCCUACGCUAUCAGAGCACAAAGCCAAUGUACUACGUGAACGUUUCUCCUCCUGCUUUGAAAAAACACAGUUCUUCCAGAGAGAUAGCAGUAGAGCAGCGGGUGCACGGAAACAAUUGACUGGAGAUCUUUCAGAAACUUUUGCUGAGAUGAGUUCUGUGCUUACAAAUCUGGAAGAGAUCACCGAAGACAAAGAGGAGCAAGAUGACAAUGACAACCCUGAAGAAACACCCGCACAAAAACAAAUAGAGGACAAAGAGUUCAAGAAAAAAGCAGAGAAAUUCAUUGAUGAAAUGAAGAAAGGUAUUAAUCAGUUACAGAAUGUCAUGAAUGAAAUUGAUCAAACAAAACAAAGACUAUUAAAAAAAUGAAUCAAAUCUGAUGAAAUAAAACUAUGUGAACAGUUGAGACACAACUUGUUAUUUGAUCACAUGACAGAAAACAACAGUCCAUCUAACAACAUCUCAAUGUAUUGAAUGAUAUAAACAUCCAAUUAUCCUACAGUGAUUAAUGUAAUAAAAAUGUACCUGUUAAUUAUAUCAGGUCUAUCAGGUAUGUCAGAAUUAUACAGGAAAUAGCUAUACUGGAUGUGCAGAAACUUACACUGAUUACAUUGAUUUUGCUCUGCAUUAUUUUUUAUGUAUAUACUUUGCUUUAUUUUUAUUAUUAUUAUUUUUUAACUUUCAUUACGCUGAGAUGUAUUAAAAUGUACAUACAAAAAUAAAGUAAUUACAAACAGAAUAAAGUAAUUCUCUUUAAAUCUUAAUGGUCUUUUCUGGUUUAAUUAAUUGUAUUGAGUGUAGAUGUAUCACACUUAUGAAAUAUUAUCAUCCAUGUAGUACAUUUCAUUUUCAAAGUCCACUGGAUGACGCUCAAGAGCAGGUGAAAUGAACUCUGACCUCUGAUAUUUCUGAUUAUAGUCUCUUCAGUGAAUUCACAAAUCUCCUUCUGCUCCUGACUCUCCCUUCACUUACAGUAAAUUCAUCAUUAGUACUAAGAUUUGUUUUGUCAUCAGUCUGCAAUCCAAUCUGAGUUAAAUUAAAAAUUUGUCCUGGCACUUCCAAGUGGUUUAAUGUCAGUAGGCAGGUCUAUUUAUUUAUUUAUAUUUAAAGUGCAUCCAUCCAUCCAUCCAUGAAACAUGCCUCACACAGCUCUGGGGGGGUGAAUAAAGGACUCCUGUAGCAAAAUGAUGCAUUUUUGUAAGAUGAGUAUCCAUAUUUAAAACGUGAUAAAAACUUUUUUCUCAGUUCCGCUGACUAUCAUAUGUGCAAACCACUUCGGGCGGAUGAUGCAUAUGACGUAUGUGCAACGCACGUGUCUGUGACAUAUGCUAGUUUCACAAGUUUGUUUACAGGAGCAAAGGAAGCAAAAUUUCCUUACUUAAGCAAAGGAAAAACAGGCUCCUCUUGGCUUAUAUUGAAAUCCUCCAACAUUUUUCUUUACAAAUCCUCAUUUUGUGUUUGUGUUUGACACUAAUCACCGGUGCAUGCAUGACUCCUAUAUCCUGCGUCAUCCAUCCGGAACAGCUCUCACGCAAGUGAGAGGAAAGUGUUCAUAACGUUUUAAAUAUGAAUAUUUUUCUAACAAAAACGCAUGGACUCGCUACAGGAGGCCUUUAUUCACCCCCCGGAGCCGUGUGAGGCACUUUGUAUUAUGGAUGGAUGAACUUUUUUGCAGAUAAAAGUUUAUCAGCAUGCAUUGAUUAAUCCCAUGUUGUACUUGUGUAAAAACUUGUGCUCCUGUGAGCAACUGAGAAAGUUAUUCGCAAAAGAGCGACCAGUGGGAAGAAUGAGUCUGGAGGCUGAAUUGUCCAGCUCCCUGUCAAUGAUCAAGCACCCCCUCAGCACCUGUGUUCAUAAUUCUCUGGCCCCGCCCCUGGCUGCGGGAGAGAGAGUUGGGAGACGAGCGGUGAGUAAGAGGGUCAAAUGCAAAUAACAAACGCCUGUGUCUUGUUCCAGUAAUUGGCAUAGAUAGAUCGCAUAAAUAGGGCCGGGAAUGAAAUGGCAGGUAGAGAGAGACCGACUGCUGACUGGUGUGGAGACUGUGCCUGCUCUGGAGAGCCCUGUGUUUUUGCAUAUGCAACUGUUCUAUAUUGAGCGCGAUAUUCUUUUUAUUUCUUGAAAUGGAAUAAAAUCACUAGCAGCAGUCAAGCUGACCCCGUCCUCUUCCUUCUCAAUCAUUGACUUUGUUCACACCUUUGUGCUUCCAUGUGCAUUCCUUUUAUAUUUUAUUAAACAGAAGUACAGUACACUCAUGUUUUUGUAACUAAAUGUGAUUGCUUUUGCCUUAUAUAUACAUAUAUAAUAUCUUGGUUUCUCAUUUUGACCAAUAACUUGCACUAUGGUGGGAGGAGUGCAUGUAAAUUUGUUUAACCUUCUGACUUUUCAUAUUGAGGUAUAACAUUUAAAAUAAUCCCUGUGGUUUUGAUGCGAUGGAUUGAAAUGCAACCAUCUCAUGCCAAGGUUAUUUAUUAUACAUCACACUUUCAAGUGUCGGUUCAGAUCUUUAGGUGUGCAGGUGUGUUUGUAUUUUGCUUUUUUUUAUGUUAGUUGAUGUGUUGACAGCAAAUUGCUUGCUCAUUUAAAUGUGAAUGAAAGUGUUGUCUCUAUCCUUAGAUGAAAAAAAAAAAAAAAAACAGUUGACAUAAUAUGAUAUAGGUUGACUGGACUAGGAAAUAAUAGUCAAGACAAUUUAAACAAAUUCAUCAACUGGACUUAUUCCACUCUAAUGAGAAGUUGUUUCAACAAGAAAUAUAUUGUCAAGACAACAACAACAACAAUUUUAGGCAGCGGGGUAACAAACUAUUUUUAGUUGACUCAAAUUCUAUUUUACCUGGGAAUUUUUUUCUCUGUUGCUGUUUUGCAGUGUUGGUAAAUUCACCACUUAAUUUUGAAUUAAAAUGUGUUGUUGUAACGUGCCUUACGUUACAUUACUGCCUUACAAAAAAAAAAAAACCUUUUGUAACGUAUUACUCCCAACACUGAUCACGGUAAUGAACAUGCACAAUAUUUAUAUUGUUAUCAUGGGCACUUCAAGAUAUCAUGAAUAAUUAUUUAUUACAAAUUCUGAAUGCUUUUUAAGAAUAGUUUUCCCAUCAACUGGUCACAAUGCACAACACUCUGGGCGCUCUUGUGUAAACUAGCACGAAUGAGAAGUGCAUGAUGCGCUAAAUGAAAGUGCACAUUCACUCUCUGACAGCAGGUGGCGCUGAACAGCAGAAAUGCAGCCGUUACCCGGAAACAAAGCAGCGCUACUUUCGGAAACCUAUUUAAAUGAUUUAAACAGCCAUUCAGUUUUGUGUAUUCGCUAUAGUGUUCAUCACAGGCACUAUGCCAAACACUUAAAUAUUUACUCCCUGUGAAAUAUAACUUCAUAUAUAAUAAUUAAUAGGCUGGUUAUUUUUGAAAUUUGUACAUUUUAAUUUGGACUACAACAUGCCCUAGAUAUUAUUUGAAAGUACGUGCUAUCAGGUAUCCACCACUCUUAACAUAGUAAAGUAUUAACAAAUUUUAAUGUAAAAAAAUAAGGUCUAACUCAACAAUGUCCGUCCCCCAAAGCAGAGAAAACAUCUUUCACAAAUAUCUACAUGUCUGUCUUAACCCCACCCCAAACCACAAUAAUUUCAAACCCUGAUUAUGGCCAUGGACCUGAGAAACAUUUCCCUGUGAAUAUUUCAGCAGUUAUUAUUUGUAUCCCGUAUACAGUAUAUGUCCAAUAAAACAGCAAUGCCAAUCAUUCGUGAUUUAAUCAUUAUUUUGAGUCAGUUCUCUCUUUUUCAAAAUGACAAAUAUAGACUACUGCCACAUGCUGAUAAUGUUUAUUAUUAUGUCCUUUCACACAGCUGCAGAGCCAUUGGUUGUAGUCUUUGCAACAUGUUAUGGUUAAUAUGAUACUUUUAAUGCUAUUCCAUUAUAUAUAUAUAUAUAUAUAUGUGUGUGUGUAUAUAUAUAUAUAUAUAUAUAUAUAUAUAUAUAUAUAUAUUCCCUUUGGUGAGGACAUUAAAAGUUUAAACAUACUUUAUUCACUUUACAUUCCAAUACAUUUUUGUGUGUGCAUUUUAUUACAGGUUUUGUUGUAAAAAAAAAAAAAAAAGUGAUAAAUGUAAAGUACAAAAUAUACACAAAAUAACAACAUCCACUAUUUAUCAAUAAUGCAGAGCACAAACAAAACACUCUGGGAAAAAAAAAAAAAAAAAAAAAAAAAAAAACAUAUAUAUAUUUCUAACUUUUGACAAUGUUAACAUUAAUUGUUGUAGGACAAUGAAACACUGAAAUUAUUCAACACUGCCAAUGUAAUAUCGGUCACUGUUUGUGUUGUUCUCUGUCAGGUGGAUCCAAGAACAAGUUCUGUCUCAGCAGUUCAU
ensembl:lncRNA